GAAUCAGCACAGUAUAAGUGGACACUAGCAGAGCACAAGUCUUGAUGAGAGCCAAAAUAGGAACAAAAUGCACGAUUGAUCAGGAUUAGCAAACUGCUGAAUGCCCAUGACUCUUGAUUGAAACCCCCUCCCAGAAAAUUGUUUGAUCACUAGCAUUCAUAAAAGUUACUCCAAAUCUCUGUAAAGAUCACCUGAGGGAGAGAGAGAUACGAAAACGCCGAACACAGAACACAUGGGGUGGUGGCCACCGGAUAUCCCGACCACCACGACAGAUGGCUGAGACCGCCCGUCAUGGUGGUACCCAAACUGCAUUCCAGGUUCUUAACAGAAUCCAUCUCUCUCAACAGAUAACAGAAAACGUCUGCAUAAAUAGAGAUCAAGACGAGGGAAA